GCUCACCAAGUGAGGUCAUUUCUCAAAACUUCUCAAAGAAGAUGGGUUCCCGUCCUAACACGGAGUCAGCGUUUCAGUGACAAGCCUUCAAAGCUCUCCAUAUCUUAAAUGUACUUGAAUGGACAGUUCAUUUGAGCAAUGACUCAGCAGAACUGAGCUUAUUCUCUUGGAGAAGAAUAUUUUCGGGUCACUAUUUUUUGGUGAUUUCAAAAACCUGGACAUGCAACAGAAUGCUUGUCUUGCUAGAGGAGCAUUGAGUUGAGAGGGGCUCAUCAAAAGACUGAAUAACAACAAUAAAAUUGGGAUAUGUAUAUGUGUAUAUAUAUAUAUAUAUAUAUAUAUAUAUAUAUAUAUAUAUCCCUUUUAGAUUCACAAAGCACUUUACAUACAUGCCCUCAUUCCAUCCUCAUGUCCUGGAAGGCAGUUUUGCAUCAUGAAUUGAGAUCUCAAGUCAAGAUCAGGCUGUGACUUCCAUCUCUGAGAAAAUAUUGACUUUAUGGCCCUAUAUAAGAUUCUUAAUUAAAUCAAGAAAGUGCAGAGCAGUUGCUGAUUUGCAUUUGGAGGAGUAUGAAUUUAGUGUUAUGAAGAGUGAGAUAUUUUCCACCAAUUAAAAAGAAACCUUAUUGGAUGGGCAGACACACAGCAAAAUGUCCAGGAAUUAUUGCUCAUCUUCACAAGCAUCAUAUGGCAGAGGCAUGAUUACACAAUAGAUGAUAUCCAAAAUAUAGUAAUGAUAAUAGUAGUUAGGUAAUAUUUCCCUACUGCUUUGAGUUUAGCAAAAUGAUUUGUAAGUAAAAUUUCACUCAGGUUACAAGAGGACUGAAAGGUCAAAAAUAGUCAAAAGUAUGAUAUGACAGCUAAAAAGAUUAAUGCAACCUUAGGUUUGCUUCCUUAGGGGAGCUCUCCAUACCAAUAAUAAAGAUGUGAGAGUCCUUCUGUGGUUUAUCCUG
rnacentral:lncRNA from 1 species